rnacentral:sRNA from 1 species
GCUGGGCAUGGUGGUGCACGCCUGUAAUCCCAGGGGCUUGGAGGCUGAGGCAGGAGGAUCUAGAGUUCAAAGCCAAACCUCAGCAGAAGAGAAGCUGCUAAGCAACUCAGUGAGACCCUGUCUCUA